rnacentral:rRNA from 1 species
AACUAUACGAAUACCGAGUAGACUGCUAGACUUGGGACCGGGAGAGGCUAGAGGUACUCCGGGGGUAGAGGUGAAAUUCUGUAAUCCUCGGGGGACCACCAGUGGCGAAGGCGUCUAGCUAGAACGGGUCUGACGGUGAGGGACGAAGCCCUGGGGCGCAAACCGGAUUAGAUACCCGGGUAGUCCAGGGUGUAAACGCUGCUUGCUUGAUGUUAGUUGGGCUCCGAGCCCAACUAGUGUCGGAGAGAAGUUGUUAAGCAAGCUGCCUGGGAAGUACGGUCGCAAGACUGAAACUUAAAGGAAUUGGCGGGGGAGCACAGCAACAGGUGGAGCGUGCGGUUUAAUUGGAUUCAACGCCGGAAAUCUCACCGGAGGCGACGGUUAUAUGAAGGCCAGGCUGAUGACCUUGCCUGAUUUUCCGAGAAGUGGUGCAUGGCCGUCGUCAGUUCGUACCGUGAGGCGUUCUGUUAAGUCAGACAACGAACGAGACCCUCAUCUUUAGUUGCAACUGAUAAGUCCGCUUAUGAGGCACACUAAAGAAACCGCUGGCGAUAAGUCAGAGGAAGGUGAGGGCAACGGUAGGUCAGUAUGCCCCGAAUCCUCCGGGCUACACGCGCGCUACAAAGGCUAGGACAAUGGGUUCCUACACCGAAAGGUGACGGUAAUCUCGAAACCUAGUCGUAGUUCGGAUUGAGGAUUGAAACUCAUCCUCAUGAAGCUGGAAUCCGUAGUAAUCGCGGGUCAACAUCCCGCGGUGAAUAUGCCCCUGCUCCUUGCACACACCGCCCGUCAAACCAUGCGAGUUGGGUCUGAGUGAGGAUGUAGUCUUUGCUACGUUCAAACUUAGGCUUAGUAAGCGGGGUUAAGUCGUAACAAGGUAACC